AUGGAUGGCCACGUGCCGAACAUCCAGCCCCACCCCGGCUCUAUAAGGCCCUCCUUGACCCCGUACUCGAACCCUAGACCCCUCAUCUCAUGCUCUUGCGCCGCCAUCAUCGUUUUUGUUCACGCCCGAGCGGCUGCCCUCCAUGGACAUUGUCGUAGCCGCGGCCAGCACGCUCACUGUCGCCUGAGAAGAUGUUCAGGAGGACGGACGUACUCAUCUACUUCUUCUACACCACCGGAUCGACGCCGUAGAACUCCAACACCGCCGCCCCCUUCAUCUUCAUCCUCGGACGCCGCCGGACCUCCUCGUCAAAUUCGCCGCCGUCUGCCGCUCCUAACCUUCCACCGGCCUUUCUUGUGCUCCGCGACACCGAGACCGACGCCGCUGCUACCCAGUACGACUACGGUGUUGACGACCCCUCCUUGCCAGAGCAACCAGAUACAACCCAGUGAUUGCUCUCUAAUAGGGUGA
rnacentral:rRNA from 1 species